rnacentral:tRNA from 1 species
AUUUAAAUAGCUUAAUUAUUUUAGAGUGUUAUAUUGAAGAUAUAAAGGUAACAAAUGUUUUUAAAUA